AAAUAAGAAGCAACAAUGCAUUUAAUUUCGACUUAAAAGAUUGAGAUUUAAUUUCUCCUUAUUUA
rnacentral:tRNA from 1 species